rnacentral:rRNA from 1 species
GAUGAACGCUGGCGGCGUGCCUAAUACAUGCAAGUCGAGCGAACAGACGAGGAGCUUGCUCCUCUGACGUUAGCGGCGGACGGGUGAGUAACACGUGGAUAACCUACCUAUAAGACUGGGAUAACUUCGGGAAACCGGAGCUAAUACCGGAUAAUAUAUCGAACCGCAUGGUUCAAUAGUGAAAGACGGCUUUGCUGUCACUUAUAGAUGGAUCCGCGCCGCAUUAGCUAGUUGGUAAGGUAACGGCUUACCAAGGCAACGAUGCGUAGCCGACCUGAGAGGGUGAUCGGCCACACUGGAACUGAGACACGGUCCAGACUCCUACGGGAGGCAGCAGUAGGGAAUCUUCCGCAAUGGGCGAAAGCUUGACGGAGCAACGCCGCGUGAGUGAUGAAGGUCUUCGGAUCGUAAAACUCUGUUAUUAGGGAAGAACAAAUGUGUAAGUAACUAUGCACGUCUUGACGGUACCUAAUCAGAAAGCCACGGCUAACUACGUG